CCUUGUACACACCGCCCGCCACACCAUGGGAGUGGGUUGCAAAAGAAGUAGGUAGCUUAACCUUCGGGAGGGCGCUUACCACUUUGUGAUUCAUGACUGGGGUG
rnacentral:rRNA from 1 species